GACCAGACUCCUACGGGAGGCAGCAGUGAGGAAUAUUGGUCAAUGGUCGGGAGACUGAACCAGCCAAGCCGCGUGAGGGAGGAAGGUACAGAGUAUCGUAAACCUCUUUUGUCAGGGAACAAAGGCGGGGACGUGUCCCCGGAUGAGUGUACCUGAAGAAAAAGCAUCGGCUAACUCCGUGCCAGCAGCCGCGGUAAUACGUAGGGGGCAAGCGUUAUCCGGAUUUACUGGGUGUAAAGGGAGCGCAGGCGGCGUGGCAAGUCAGAUGUGAAAACCCGGGGCCCAACCCCGGGAGUGCAUUUGAAACUGCCAUGCUGGAGUGCCGGAGAGGUAAGCGGAAUUCCUAGUGUAGCGGUGAAAUGCGUAGAUAUUAGGAGGAACACCAGUGGCGGAGGCGGCUUACUGGACGGUAACUGACGCUGAGGCUCGAAAGCGUGGGGAGCAAACAGGAUUAGAUACCCCCGUAG
rnacentral:rRNA from 1 species